CUGCCCCUCCUGACACAUGUCCAAGGUCUGUGAGACACAGUCUCAUCAUCCUCGCCUCUUAUGGUGGACCCUGUGGCCAGCAUGGUGGAGAGAUGCACCGUCAAGUCUGCGUCUGACUGCUGGGCACUGGCUCAGCACGGACUCCUUCUGAAGCUGUGUUUGAACCCACCACACGGCGGUCGCCUUGUUCUUUGCUGGGUCCUGUAGCCCUCGGUUGUGGGAGUUUCCUGCAACAGGGCCUCAGCGCCUACCAGGCAGACAGACGAAGACCAGGUUAAGAAGCUACCAAGGUGACUAACAGUAAAUCUGGGAUGGAGAAGAGGCCUCCUGGCCAAUUAUGGGGUCUGGGGGUGUCGUGUCCUUGAUGAGGGAUGCAGAGAAGCAGGCGGUAGGCGUGAGACGCCGCUUCAGCGGAAGUUGUCAUUGAUGGCAGUGCCCCCUGAAUCCCUAGGAUUCCAGAGCCCUCCCUUCAACCCCUGCACUCUCCAGUCCAGUAACUCCCAGGCCUCCAGACUGUGGCUACAGGAUGGGGGUGGGCAGGCCUGAAGGAGGGGUCUUUAUCCAGCCAGAAUACAUGAGGAUCAGCCCUGUGACCUCACACGGGGUCAUGUAUGUAAAAGGAACACUCCCCGUCCCCACACACCCAUUCAACCCCAACUGAAACCACAGUCAGAAGGAAGAUGCUGAGCAGAGGGGGACCCCACCGAGGACUGCCUUCCCUGUGGGCUCACCACCUUCUCCCCAUCAUGUCCUGCCCUACGGUGGGUGGGCUUGCAGGGUUGUAAGAGAAACUCAAGUUUGACCACAUGCUUGGCUUUCGGCAGGCUUCCCUCUAGCCCAGCAAUCAGGAGUCCGUGCAGUGUCAAGGGCAGCUUUUGCAGGGACCGGGGAGGAGGAGCGAGUAUCGGACAGCUGUGGUGGUACACUGGGACCCUGCCCCUCCUCGGGCGCCCACAGCAGCCUAGGAGGCUCAGUCCUGCCCGUUGUGCUGCUUUGGGUCACCCCCAUACCAACCAAGCUGGGGAGGGGGUCCUUGCUUCAUUUUAAUGAAAAAGAACAAAGCAGAUGCCAACCAAGACAGCUGUCUCCCCAACCUCCGUGCACCCCACCCACCCCCGCCCGCCCCAGUAGCACCCACACCUAAAUGAAAUUCUCUUGACUUUGUGACCAGAAAAGGUCCUCCUACUAUUGUUUGCCCAGUAGCCAUGUUUGUCCAAUCGGCAAACUAUUUGUUCGAUGAUGGAAGCUUUCUCUUUGGGGGUGAAUCAAAGGCAACAAGGAUAUUUUAUUCAACUCCCGUCAGCCCGAGAGAGCCUGGGCAGGGAUCUAAUCCCACUGAACGCAAAGGAACAUGUUGUGUGAACAUCACAUGUGGACAUCGUUCCCACCCCACCCCAGUGAAGGGGCAGUGACCAUCAGGGUUCUACAGAGGCUGUGAUAGUAUGGAGCCCCCAGAGAGCCUUCAGAGCCCCCCAGGGAGCCCCUAGUUGGGAGCCACUAGGCUAAGCCAGUUGAGAUGAGGGAGCAAGUCUUUGAUAAUCACUAUGGCCAUCUCAUUCUCAGUCGCCGGUCCCUGACUCGGCCACCCUAGGCAGAUGGGUCUUCUCUCUGCACAUCUGGGUUACACUGUGCGUUCUCUUCAUGGGAAGCUGUCUCCAUGGGUGCCAGUAGCUCUUAUCCAGGUGUCUGGCGUCCCAUUCCCACUAUGCCAUGAUCACCCCACUCUCGUGUCUGUGACGAGAGAUAUAGAGGGACAGAAUGAACGCGGGCCUGGGUCUCAGGAACCCAGGACCACUUGUGGAAUCCUCGAGAAGCUGGGUGUCUGUGAAGAGAUGGGGAGCAAGGAGGGGAGGCAUGGCAGCCCACAGUGGGCUGAGGGCACUGAGAGAGUUCUGGGCUGCAGGCCAGCACCCCUUCACUGUAACAUGCUGUGAAUCUCCUGAGAAUCAAGUUCAAUUGUGCAUCUUGGUUCAGGAGACCUGGGGAGGGGCUGCCAGGGGAGGCAGAGGCUAGGCUAGCUGGGGGCCAUACACAGAACCACAGUAUAAUGCAUCUUUGACAAGCCUAGUGCCCGUAGCUGGGCUUCGGGCUCAAGCGAUGAGAGCCAGCCAGUUUGUGUCUGGAAUUGAGGGCCAGGACGGCCCCCAGAGCCCUGAUAUACCCAUGCCUGGAAAGAUGAAGGAACACGAGAGAAAAAGGUGUUUUUAGCAAAUAAAUGUCUCUCCUUUU